UGUGAAAUCCCAGAGAACUCUGGGCCUCAUACGAUACGGGCUGACUCGAGUGUUGUAGGGGAGACUGGAACUCCUGGUGUAGCGGUGAAAUGCGCAGAUAUAGGAAGAACACCGGUGGCGAAGGCGGGUCUCUGGGCAACUACUGACGCUGAGGAGCAAAGCGUGGGGAGCAAACAGGAUUAGAUACCCUGGUAGUCCACGCCGUAAACGGGGCAGUGUGGGGAACUCACGUCCGUGCGCAGCAACGCAUUAGCGCCCCGCCUGGGGAGUACGGCCGCAAGGCUAAACUCAAAGGAAUUGACGCCGCACAAGCGGCGGAGCAUGCGGCUUAAUUCGAUGCAACGCGAAGAACCUUACCUAGGCUGACAGUUGGGGAAAUCUGGCAGAGAUGUCAGGCCGCA
rnacentral:rRNA from 1 species